UACGUAGGGUGCAAGCGUUAAUCGGAAUUACUGGGCGUAAAGCGUGCGCAGGCGGUUUUGUAAGUUUGUCGUGAAAGCCCCGGGCUCAACCUGGGAAUUGCAUUUGUGACUGCACGGCUAGAGUGUGUCAGAGGGGGGUAGAAUUCCACGUGUAGCAGUGAAAUGCGUAGAGAUGUGGAGGAAUACCGAUGGCGAAGGCAGCCCCCUGGGAUAACACUGACGCUCAUGCACGAAAGCGUGGGGAGCAAACAGG
rnacentral:rRNA from 1 species